rnacentral:rRNA from 1 species
GAAGUAAAAGUCGUAACAAGGUUUCCGUAGGUGAACCUGCGGAAGGAUCAUUAUCAAAACAGCGGACUUCGGUCCUUGCUGCACCCUUGUCUUUUGCGUACCGUAUGUUUCCUCGGCGGGCUUGCCUGCCGGUUGGACAUUAUCAAACCUUUUUGUAGUUGCAAUCAGCGUCAGAAAAUAAACAAUAAUUACAACUUUCAACAACGGAUCUCUUGGUUCUGGCAUCGAUGAAGAACGCAGCGAAAUGCGAAAAGUAGUGUGAAUUGCAGAAUUCAGUGAAUCAUCGAAUCUUUGAACGCACAUUGCGCCCCUUGGUAUUCCAUGGGGCAUGCCUGUUCGAGCGUCAUUUUGUACCCUCAAGCACUGCUUGGUGUUGGGCGUUUGUCCUGCAAAGGACUCGCCUGAAAGCGAUUGGCGGCCAACGUACUGGUGGUAGAGCGCAGCACAAUUUGCGUCUCUCCCUUCUACGUCGGCGUCCAUGAAGCCUUUUUUCAACGUUUGACCUCGGAUCAGGUAGGGAUACCCGCUGAACUUAAG